CCUGAAGAGGAUCACCCCUGGAAGACAGAGUUAGAUGGCAGUGCAAGCUGUGCGGAAAGUCCUUAAUGAGGACGACUUUCUCAAAGCUGAUGAUGUAAUAGUUCUGAAGGAGCAUUCUGUGGGAGUCAGGGUCCCAUCUACCUCUGUCUGGGCACACAGAGCUCCUGGCCUUGCAUCCUGCCUGAGAGGUGACCUGGAUUAUUGGCUUCCCUGGUCCACACAGGGUCCUGGAUUGCUUGGUAGUCCCUCAUUCCUGGUCUACCCUGUGCCCCAUGGUGUUUGCAGCUUCUAUGGGCUGAAUUUAAUCAGUGAUUCACUGGAGCUGGAUCUGAACCCAAACCACAGGGAAGCCCUGGGCACUGAGGACAAUAAGAGCAACAGACAACAUCUCCUCCACUGCUUCUCUCUCUGCUCCACAAGGCAAGGCAGUUCUCACACAGCAGGCAUCCAGCCUAACUCCCAGCAGGGAGAGUGUGAGAUGUCUAUGGAUGAGCCCACAUUACAGUACGAUUCUGUGGGAAGACAUCUGGUAGCUUCUGGUGCAGCUGCAGCAGUCAGGACACAUGGAACUACAGUGGAGGGAGAGAAUCCUGUACUGGAUGGAAUCACUCGGCUCAGUGUGGACACAAAGAUAUCCUAUGCCAUGGCAUGGAGGCUCCCAACAACUUCUAGGAUGAAUGUGAGGCACACAAGAGCCCACAGUGCAACCUGGGAGAACAUUAAAGUAUCUGGAAUUAUCAGGGACCCUAAGGUAUGUUGGGCAGGAUAUGGAGCUGAUGCAUGCUGGAGAAGGUGUCAUGAAGGGACAUGGGCAGUAGAGGGAGGUCUAUGACUGCAAGGCCUGCCUAGGCUCCAAUAAUCCAAACUGGGUACUGCAGAAUUUCCGAGAUCACAGCUCUGCAGUUACCCUUCUCAUGUCCUGGUUUUAACUACUGCACCCAACACAAAGCCUCCCUUGCAGUAUGUCUCAGAUCCAUUUGAGACUCUGCAAACCAGACAUCUUUGUAUGGAAUGGAAAAGAACCCUUACUGCACAUCUCAGGUUGUGGAGGCUGGUCCAUCCUGUCUGACAGUGUUUCUGAGGCACUGGUAUAGGG
ensembl:lncRNA